GUGGACUUAGCUUAAUGGUAGAGCACCUUGCAUGUACUCAGGGGUUAAUGCAGGUUCAAGUCCUGCAGUCCACA
rfam:Puccinia sorghi strain RO10H11247 Scaffold_436, whole genome shotgun sequence.